rnacentral:rRNA from 1 species
AAACUUUCAACAACGGAUCUCUUGGUUCUGGCAUCGAUGAAGAACGCAGCGAAAUGCGAUAAGUAAUGUGAAUUGCAGAAUUCAAGUGAAUCAUCGAAUCUUUGAACGCACAUUGCGCCCGCCAGUAUUCUGCGGGCAUGCCUGUCCGAGCGUCAUUU